rnacentral:snRNA from 1 species
UUGCUUUAGGGGCGCAUGCGCUGAAGUUGUAACGUUACAAGGGAGGACCAGCAAGGCCCGUGUGCAAGGAUGACGUACGAACUCAUGAAGUGUCCAUGUUCUCU